rnacentral:rRNA from 1 species
AACGAACGCUGGCGGCAUGCCUAACACAUGCAAGUCGAACGAAAACGUCGGGCCUAUUGGCGCUGGGCUGGGGACGGACGGGGGAGUAACACUUGGGUUAGGAACAACUCCCUGAAAGGGGUGCUCAUACCGGAGAGGCUCAUACGACCUAAGAUCUAUUGCCGUGGGAUGGGGGCGGGUUGGUUUCGGCGGUUGGUAGGGUAAUAGCCGACCAAGGCGACGAUCCAGAGCUGGUCGGUGAGGAGGACCAGCCACGCUGGGACUGAGACGCGGCCCAGACUGCUACGGGAGGGAGGAGUGGGGAAUACAGGACGAUGGGCGCAAGCCUGAUCCAGCCAUGCCGGGUGAGUGAUGCAGGCCGUAGGGUUGUGAAGCUCUUUUAGACGGGGUGAUAAUGACGGUACCGGGAGAAUAAGCACCGGCUAACUCCGUG